UACGGAGGGUGCAAGCAUUAAUCGGAUUUAUUGGGCGUAAAGGGCGCGUAGGCGGAUGAGCGGGUCAGAUGUGAAAUUCCGGGGCUCAACUUCGGAACUGCAUUUGAAACUACUCGGUCUAGAGGGUUGGUAGAGGAAACGGAAUUCCACGUGUAGCGGUGAAAUGCGUAGAUAUGUGGAGGAACACCGGUGGCGAAGGCGGUUUCCUGGCUAACACCUGACGCUGAGGCGCGAAAGCAAGGGGAGCAAACAGG
rnacentral:rRNA from 1 species